rnacentral:lncRNA from 1 species
CCGUUACGCAGCGCGGUUGCUGGGCACCUCGACUAUCACCUGACCGUAGUAAUAUCUCCUGCUACGCGCGUUGUGACCAAUGCUGCAUACAGGAGAUGAGGGAGGACGGCCAGACACCUGGAAGCCGGAAAAUGGUGAAAGGCAGGAUUGGGAACCCCACAGACCGCAGCUCCUCCCAGGAGAACCGCACACAUGAGUCUGGAUCCUCGCCAUGAUCCUCCCGUGGCCCCCACACAAUCUGGGGAGACGCGGGGCCGCGGGCACUGCGCUGCCGAGAGGGCUCCGGACUGGGGCUGCAGUUGCUGCGCAGGGACGGCUCAGGAUGCCCGGGUUCCCGGCUGCUGGCCCAGCCCCACCCUGUGGCCGAGGGGACCCAGGGACGAGCUGCGCCAGGGAGACUCGGGUCCGCAGACCCCGGAAUCGCUGCUGACAGGCCCGGGUCCCACCACAGCAGGUCCCAACCAGCCCCUCCUCCCACCCGGCCUUGCACACUCACCAUUUCCCGGCUCCCAGGUGUCCCGGGUCCUCCCUUGGCUCCGGGGAUCAGUGCUGGUCACCACCGGACAGAAGCUGUGGUGGAGCCACCUCGGCCUCUGGAAGGCUGAUUUCAGUGGAUUAGGGGAACAAGGCUGAUUUCAGUGGGUUAGGGGAACAAGAGCCCCUUAGACUUGCGGAGCUUGGCCCCACCCUCCUGGCGGAGCGCCUGAUUGGAUGAUUUACACGACCCCGCCCAGUACCCCUAGGAUAGGAAUCAAGCCCCACCCCCUAGGACCGGGUUUCAGGAGAAGCCACGGAAAACUCGGAAGUGUGGAGCAGGACUGACAGGUUCUAGCAACAGCCCUCCCACCCCCACGCCCAGGCCAGGCUUCCUUCUGGAGCUUGGACGUGACCCCACACUGGGGACAUUUGCAUUUAAGAAAAACUUGGCUCCAGGCUUUCCACAGUGGGCACUGGCAUCUUCCCAUACUCACUGGGCCCUGUUUCUUCCUCCUGGACGGGAGUUCACAAGUGUGAGCAGGCAGUUCCACACUCCGUGUCCAAUUGAGCCAGUACCUUUGCUGGAAGCUACUGGGCUGGAACAGGAGGGAGGGCCCAGAUGUCUUCCAGGGAUCAGGAAUUUGGGAUAAGCGGCUGGUGGUAUGGCCAAGGCUUCCUCAUACCUUAUCUCAGUCUACCCAUUUUCAGGGAAGAAAAUGAAAUAUGCCAACAAGGGAACAAAAAUUAAGUGCAUGGAAAAAAGUUAUACUACAGCAAUAUUCUGUAAAGAAAUCAAAAGGAGCCGGGCGCGAUGGCUCACGCCUAUAAUCCCAGCACUUUGGAAGGCCAAGGUAGGAUGAUC